UUCAUGCCGACGAGCGCUAGGGGAUGGCCGCUCCGUUUUUGCACCCUGCUCCCUCUUAUGCUGUGCUGGUUCCUCUAUGAGAAACACCGCCUCUUCCUCCAAACUGCACAUAUCACUCACAUGACCUUCAUUCCAUGUGGGGUCUAGGACCUCAUCAUCCUCCACAUCAUCUUCCACCCACUCCUCAACCCUGCCCCUGCAGGAAACCACAGCAGUUGGC